GUGUUAGUGGAAGCGUCUGGAAAGGCGCGCGAUACAGGGUGACAGCCCCGUACACAAAAAUGCACAUAUUGUGAGCUCGAUGAGUAGGGCGGGACACGUGGUAUCCUGUCUGAAUAUGGGGGGACCAUCCUCCAAGGCUAAAUACUCCUGACUGACCGAUAGUGAACCAGUACCGUGAGGGAAAGGCGAAAAGAACCCCGGCGAGGGGAGUGAAAAAGAACCUGAAACCGUGUACGUACAAGCAGUGGGAGCCUCUUAAUGGGGUGACUGCGUACCUUUUGUAUAAUGGGUCAGCGACUUAUAUUCUGUAGCAAGGUUAACCGAAUAGGGGAGCCGAAGGGAAACCGAGUCUUAACUGGGCGUUAAGUUGCAGGGUAUAGACCCGAAACCCGGUGAUCUAGCCAUGGGCAGGUUGAAGGUUGGGUAACACUAACUGGAGGACCGAACCGACUAAUGUUGAAAAAUUAGCGGAUGACUUGUGGCUGGGGGUGAAAGGCCAAUCAAACCGGGAGAUAGCUGGUUCUCCCCGAAAGCUAUUUAGGUAGCGCCUCGUGAAUUCAUCUCCGGGGGUAGAGCACUGUUUCGGCAAGGGGGUCAUCCCGACUUACCAACCCGAUGCAAACUGCGAAUACCGGAGAAUGUUAUCACGGGAGACACACGGCGGGUGCUAACGUCCGUCGUGAAGAGGGAAACAACCCAGACCGCCAGCUAAGGUCCCAAAGUCAUGGUUAAGUGGGAAACGAUGUGGGAAGGCCCAGACAGCCAGGAUGUUGGCUUAGAAGCAGCCAUCAUUUAAAGAAAGCGUAAUAGCUCACUGGUCGAGUCGGCCUGCGCGGAAGAUGUAACGGGGCUAAACCAUGCACCGAAGCUGCGGCAGCGACACUAUGUGUUGUUGGGUAGGGGAGCG
rnacentral:rRNA from 1 species